rnacentral:rRNA from 1 species
AUUGAACGCUGGCGGCAGGCCUAACACAUGCAAGUCGAGCGCGAAAGGCCUUCGGGCUGAGUAGAGCGGCGGACGGGUGAGUAACGCGUAGGAAUCUACCUGGUAGUGGGGGACAACAUGGUGAAAACCAUGCUAAUACCGCAUACGCCCUAUGGGGGAAAGCGGGGGAACUUCGGGCCUCGCGCUAUCAGAUGAGCUCGGGUAGGAUGAGCUUGUUGGUGAGGUAAAGGCUCACCAAGGCGACGAUCCUUAGCUGGUCUGAGAGGAUGAUCAGCCACAUUGGAACUGAGACACGGUCCAGACUCCUACGGGAGGCAGCAGUGGGGAAUAUUGCGCAAUGGGCGAAAGCCUGACGCAGCCAUGCCGCGUGUGUGAAGAAGGCCUUCGGGUUGUAAGGCACUUUCAAUUGGGAAGAAAGGUUGCGUGUUAAUAGCACGUAGCUGUGACGUUACCUUUAGAAGAAGCACCGGCUAACUCCGUGCCAGCAGCCGCAGUAACAC